rnacentral:rRNA from 1 species
GAUGAACGCUAGCGGAAGGCUUAAUACAUGCAAGUCGAGCGGUAGGUGGCUUCGGCCAUUGAGAGCGGCGCACGGGUGAGUAACGCGUACAUGACCUGCCUGUCAGAAGGGGAUAGCCCUGGGAAACUGGGAUUAAUACCCUAUGGUAUUGAUAUUAUGAAUGAUAUCAAUUAAAGUUGAGGCGCUGACAGAUGGAUGUGCGUCUGAUUAGCUAGUUGGUAGGGUAACGGCCUACCAAGGCGACGAUCAGUAGGGGGCGUGAGAGCGUGGUCCCCCACACGGGUACUGGGACACGGACCCGACUCCUACGGGAGGCAGCAGUAAGGAAUAUUGGUCAAUGCCCGCAAGGGUGAACCAGCCAUUCCGCGUGGGGGAUGAAGGCCCUAUGGGUUGUAAACUUCUUUUAGAUGGGAAGAAAAUGCUAGAUGUAUCUGGUACUGACGGUACCAUCAGAAUAAGCACCGGCUAACUCCGUGCCAGCAGCCGCCGUAACAC